rnacentral:rRNA from 1 species
UACGUAGGCAGCAAGCGUUGUUCGGAGUUACUGGGCGUAAAGCGUGCGCAGGCGGUUGUGCAAGACAGAUGUGAAAUCCCCGGGCUCAACCUGGGAAUUGCAUUUGUGACUGCACGGCUAGAGUGUGUCAGAGGGGGGUAGAAUUCCACGUGUAGCAGUGAAAUGCGUAGAGAUGUGGAGGAAUACCGAUGGCGAAGGCAGCCCCCUGGGAUAACACUGACGCUCAUGCACGAAAGCGUGGGGAGCAAACAGG